rnacentral:rRNA from 1 species
AUUGAACGCUGGCGGCAUGCUUUACACAUGCAAGUCGAACGGUAACAGACCGCAAGGUGCUGACGAGUGGCGAACGGGUGAGUAAUGCAUCGGAACGUGCCCAGUCGUGGGGGAUAACGCAGCGAAAGCUGUGCUAAUACCGCAUACGAUCUGUGGAUGAAAGCGGGGGACCGUAAGGCCUCGCGCGAUUGGAGCGGCCGAUGUCAGAUUAGGUAGUUGGUGGGGUAAAGGCCUGCCAAGCCGACGAUCUGUAGCUGGUCUGAGAGGACGACCAGCCACACUGGGACUGAGACACGGCCCAGACUCCUACGGGAGGCAGCAGUGGGGAAUUUUGGACAAUGGGCGCAAGCCUGAUCCAGCAAUGCCGCGUGCAGGAAGAAGGCCUUCGGGUUGUAAACUGCUUUUGUACGGAACGAAACGGUCUGGGUUAAUACCCUGGGCUAAUGACGGUACCGUAAGAAUAAGCACCGGCUAACUACGUGCCAGCCGCCGCUGUAAAAC